rnacentral:rRNA from 1 species
GAAGGGACCUAGCGUAGUUCGGAAUUACUGGGCUUAAAGAGUUCGUAGGUGGUUAAAAUAGUUGGUGGUGAAAUCCCAGAGCUUAACUCUGGAACUGCCAUCAAAACUUUUUAGCUAGAGUAUGAUAGAGGAAAGUAGAAUUUCUAGUGUAGAGGUGAAAUUCGUAGAUAUUAGAAAGAAUACCAAUUGCGAAGGCAGCUUUCUGGGUCAUUACUGACACUGAGGAACGAAGGCAUGGGUAGCGAAGAGGAUUAGAUACCCUCGUAGUCCAUGCCGUAAACGAUGUGUGCUAGACGUUGGAAAUUUAUUUUCAGUGUCGCAGCAAAAGCGAUAAGCACACCGCCUGGGGAGUACGACCGCAAGGUUAAAACUCAAAUGAAUUGACGGGGACCCGCACAAGUAGUGGAGCAUGUGGUUUAAUUCGAAGAUACGCGCAGAACCUUACCAACACUUGACAUGUUCGUCGCAACUCUAAGAGAUUAGAGUUUUCGGUUCGGCCGGACGAAACACAGGUGCUGCAUGGCUGUCGUCAGCUCGUGUCGUGAGAUGUUGGGUUAAGUCCCGCAACGAGCGCAACCCUCACUUUUAGUUGCUACCAUUUAGUUGGGCACUCUGAAAGAACUGCCAGUGAUAAGCUGGAGGAAGGUGGGGAUGACGUCAAGUCCUCAUGGCCCUUACGUGUUGGGCUACACACGUGCUACAAUGGCAUCUACAACAGGAAGCAAGAAUGCGAAUUUAAGCAAAUCCUUAAAAGAUGCCUCAGUUCGGAUUGUACUCUGCAACUCGAGUACAUGAAGCUGGAAUUACUAGUAAUCGCGGAUCAGCGUGCCGCGGUGAAUACGUUCCCGGGUCUU